CAAUAGCGUAUAUUAAAGUUGUUGCGGUUAAAAAGCUCGUAGUUGGAUUUCUGAUCGAGACAUCAGGUCGGGUCCGAGAGGAUCAUGUACUUUGAUUUUGUUUUGAUCAUCCUUGGGGAGAGCAUUUCUGGCAUUCAGUUGUCGGGAUUGGGAUCCUCAUCGUUUACUGUGAAAAAAUUAGAGUGUUCAAAGCAGGCCUCGGCCUCUGAAUACAUUAGCAUGGAAUAAUAAGAUAGGACUUUGGUGGUCUAUUUUGUUGGUUUGCACGCCAAAGUAAUGAUUAAUAGGGAUAGUUGGGGGUAUUCGUAUUCAAUUGUCAGAGGUGAAAUUCUUGGAUUUAUGGAAGACGAACUACUGCGAAAGCAUUUACCAAGGAUGUUUUCAUUAA
rnacentral:rRNA from 1 species